UACGAAGGGGGCUAGCGUUGCUCGGAAUCACUGGGCGUAAAGGGUGCGUAGGCGGGUCUUUAAGUCAGGGGUGAAAUCCUGGAGCUCAACUCCAGAACUGCCUUUGAUACUGAAGAUCUUGAGUUCGGGAGAGGUGAGUGGAACUGCGAGUGUAGAGGUGAAAUUCGUAGAUAUUCGCAAGAACACCAGUGGCGAAGGCGGCUCACUGGCCCGUAACUGACGCUCAUGCACGACAGCGUGGGGAUCAAACAGG
rnacentral:rRNA from 1 species